rnacentral:rRNA from 1 species
GCAAGUCGAGCGCUUCCCUUCGGGGAGGAGCGGCGGACGGGUUAGUAACGCGUGGGAACAUACCCUUCACUACGGAAUAGCCUCGGGAAACUGAGAGUAAUACCGUAUACGUCCUCCGGGAGAAAGAUUUAUCGGUGAAGGAUUGGCCCGCGUUAGAUUAGAUAGUUGGUGGGGUAACGGCCUACCAAGUCUACGAUCUAUAGCUGGUUUGAGAGGAUGAUC